rnacentral:lncRNA from 1 species
AAAAGUAAUGUUGGAAAGCGCCCGUAGUCAGAGGUUCUUCUCUGCUGUAAACUUAUAUGAUUUCUAUGCAGUUGCUGCAAGUUCCUUUUUCAACUUUCCCUGUUUGCCGUAUGUCAAAAAGAUUUUAAAAAUUAUUGUUAUUAAAAUAAGAAGGAGGCAAUGCUGGCUGCAAACAAGGAAGCAACUAGAAAUAUCUGGCGCUUUUGCAAGUGUGGUUUGGUUCCAGCUUGAGAGUAAGCAAGCUUCUCUCUCCCUUGCAAGGCCUCACCUUGCAAGUUUAAUCAAUGCAUUAUGUAAAGGUCAAGAAGUAUCUGUCUUCAGACAAGGUAUUUCUACGAACACCUAUUAGAAAGGCAAACAGUCCCCUUCUCAGUGCAAACAUUUGUUUUGGAUCUGACAGCAUUUGGAAGCAGCCUUUUUCUCAGAGGAAACUCCCUGCCCCUUGUACUUUGUGCUACCCAUCUGCUGGGUGACAGACAGUGGUUGCUGCUACUCUGGGCUUGGAGAGAAAAGCAGCCUUUUAUUUAUUUCCAUAGUUUUCCUUUAAAUCACAACAAAGGCAGAGGUAUUUGCUUAGAAACUUGUGCAAACUUCCUCUCGCUUGCUGUGCGUGGCACCCAGGAGCUUCCCGCGAAGGCCUUCGAAUGGCUUGACCUUUCAGAAUAGCUUUCCAUGGAUACCAUCUGAGAUCGACGUACUCAAACACAUCUUUACACAUUAUUAUAUUAACUGGCUGGAACCAGUCUUUCCAGUUGGUGAGGGAUUUGUAGAAUAAAAGGAAAGGCAAACUCUUUAGGGAGCAAGAACAAGGCUUAGGUGCAAGGAAAUUGGUUUUAUUUCGUUUUUUAAAGGAGGGAGGGUGCGUUAGCAUUGGCACUCCUAUACCAAAGCUCAUUACUGCAGGCAGAACACAAAUAACUAGCUGUAUAAUUUGUUCCAUUGAUCAAAGAGAUUUGGGAGGCAGCGCCUGGAACUGCCAAGCCCUCCUGCUCACCUGCUUACCCAAGUCUGUGUCUUGAGAGGGUGCACUAAAGCUAUAAGACACAUCAGGGUGGACUUUUUUUGUAUGAAUACUUUUGAAUCAUUGAUUUUUAACUUCUGUCUUUUGAUGUAAAUCAUGCUGUAUAAAAUGAAUUGUUGUAAGCAUUAAGUCAGGCCUAGCAUUCUCUGUAAAGAUUGAUACGUAUUUGUCUGAUUGCUAUUUGAACUGCACAUAUAAAAUGUGCUAGACAUUCCACCAGGAGUAUUAAAAGGUAUUUAAGGAAGUGUGGUGCGUGAGCAUGUAUGUGUGAGUGAGAGGAAAGGGUGAGUAUGUCAGGUUUUUCACCUCUACUUUUCUCCAACUUCAAAUGCCUCCAUCCAGAAAGGUGUAAAAUCUUCCUGCUCCCUCAACCCAGGGCUGCUUCCUAACACUCUGCUGGGUGGCUGAGCACCUUGUGGUACUUUUGGCUACUGAUUCUGAUCCCGACACUGCUAAUAAAAUAUUUCUACACCUUUCUGCUUUCCCAUUUCUUGUGUGGUCUGUAACUUAAGAGAAUCCCUUUAUAAGCCCUGUGUAGCAUUUGAGAGCUUCACAGUUGCCCCUCCCCUCCCACCUUUCCUGCAAGGUUGCCUAUGAGAAAUUGGAAUACAGUGACCAGGCCUUGCAGUGUUUUGGUGAGGUCUGGAGAGAGUUUGGUCCAGUGGUUGAUUUAUCCCAGGUUCUAGCACCAGUGGCUUCUGGCAAGGCAAGGCAAGCCUUUGCCAUGUAGCCAAUAGACUAGUGUAAGCUUGUGGGGGGGGGGGGGAGAAGUGAGCCAAGUAGUUUAAAGCAAUUUAGAGUUGUUUUUUUAAAAAUAAAUUCUGAUGGUGAUAGUUUAGUAUGAUUUAUAUUGAAGCAAAGCUACCUUCUGGUUGGGAGGCAUUCUUCAGACUGUGCUCUGUGCAUCAGUCCUUAUGUCAUGCAAGUGACACUAUGUCACCAACAUGCCAGGUUGAUAUGCUGUCCGCUAAGUAAGUUGCAAAGAGGCCAUUUCCUCUCCCUUUGAUGCCCUGUAACCCACUUUUGUGAUAGUGAGAACUUGACUCUUAAUUCUUCCAGUAGAUAUAACUUUGGAAACCAGCCUUCUUGGGUUGGGCUCUUCUCUUUGCAGGGGUUUAAUUCCUGUGCACUGUUUCCCAUCCGUCCACUUCUUCAGCAUUUGUCUUUCUUUUUCUUUUCUUUUUUUGCAAGGAGUGUGUGUCAUCUGUUAAAUGCAAUCUUGCUUUGUUGGUUUCUGCCUCAAAAAUAGGUGCUCUUUCCAGAAUCAGUGGUUAUCUGCAGUAGUACAGUUGCUAUGGCCUGGUGAUGUUAUAAACUUGGUCUAACCUGGUACUGCUCUCUAGCAAAAGAAUUGCGAGAGUAAGGGGAGAAGCCUGGGGUUGCGACUGUAAUAGCCUUACUCAGUAUAGUGACAAGAAAGGCUUUUCCGUUCCUCUAACUGUGGCUCUGUUUCUGCUCCUCUCUACGUGCUUGGCAGGUUCUACUGCUUAAGCAUCUUGGGCCCCAUUGCCAAAACGGUCUAAAGGCAGUGCUUUUUGUGGGGGUUAAAAAUGAAGUAUCAUGUCUUGAUAAAAGUGGGGUAGGUGUCAGCACAAGAUGGCUGCCAUGGGCAGCAAAAAAAGAGGUGAUGAUACCUGUGAGUACUGUCACAAAACCCCUGUUCACAAGUAUAGUCAAACUGGGAUGGUUUGCACCUUCCUGUUUCCAUGCUACCUGGGCAUUCCUAGAAGAGAGUGGAUGGCUUUGCUUAUUGGAUAAAACCAUCCUCUGUACUGUUUUCUUUCCAUCAGAUGCAAUGGACCAUCAUGAAUCCUAGCCUCUCCUGUAGCACACACUGUGUUUGAAAAGGGACCCUCUUCCCCCCGAUGGUAUGGUGGAGAAUUCCCCAUAACUUGCCCUGUUGCUCAUCUCUUUAUAUCUCAUCUCCUUAAAUCUGGCCCUUUGCCGUCCCUUCUCAUUGAGACAAACUAGACGUUCUUCACAAAAAGAUCUUCCAUUAGUUGUCUUCCAUUUUCUCCCAACAGCCUUUUUCUUGGUCAAGUGUGCAGUGCUUUUCUUUCCCUGUGGUUGAGAGUAUUACUACUUUCAGUAAUUUUCAAUGAAGGCUGUUAUCUUGUAUUUAAGGGAAAGCCCCAACUUCUGUGCACAUUAUUAAGGAUUGAUGGUGCAGGGCACACAAUGCUUAGAGAAACUUUUGUAGCAACUUUAGCUCUGGACAGUUCCUCUGUCAUAGCUUCUGGGUGGCUUCUGCAGGAAUGCUAUUUAUGGCUCUUUCCUCCCGACAUAAGUACUGUCACUAUGCUUAGGAUUUUGCUUUGUAGUAGUAAGAAUAAUGAUGAUAUCUCCCUUUUCCCAUUCUAUGUCUGGGGAAUAUUUAAGCUGCACAAAACUGUUACUGAGGCUUAUCACUAAUCAUUUUUUAUUAUUAUUAUGAGCUGCAACAUCCUGGCCAAUUAUUCCUAUUCAUCUUCUAAACCAGAAGCUGCUGAAAAGAUCUUUUUCUCUCCAGAGUCAUUUCCUUGUUCCAUUUGUAGGCUCCUGUGAUAAGGCAGCCUUUGCCAGCCUGCUGCCCACCAAAUUUUUUGGACUGCAGCUCCUAUCUGCCCUAGCCAAAACAUCUAGAUGACACUAGCUUGGCAGAGGCUUUGAUAAGACAGUCUUCUGCCUUUGUCCUCUUUAAAGGUGGUAGCCAGUACCUCGCUUCUCUUUUUGUUGCAGAAAUCAGUGUUGGUACCACUCUUCCUCAUCACCAGGAAGCACAGCAGAGCAAUGGGGAAUUAACUUGCGCCAAAGGGAAAUGCAAAGUAUUGGGCUGGAUUCAACCAUUGAGUCCCACUAGCAGGAGCCAGCACAAGGUCUUCUGUGAGUGCAACAGAGUUUUUAGCCCCUCUCCUCCCUGCCUCCCAAAUUGGCUCGGGGCUGUGUGUCAGGGUAAUUGACAGCAAGCGGAGGAGGGAGAAGGGCGAUUGUUCCUUCUGGAAAACUGAAAUGCUUGUGUUGACAGAAUAAUCUCCUUAGUGCUACGUUGAAUUCCUCCACAAAUUGAAAAGGGACUUCAUUAAAUCUGUGAGUGCCUCUGGAAAUGUUGCUAUAAAUAUAACUCUCUUCACUCAGUUCCCACAUGCCCACCAAAUAGAAACAAAUAUGCAGAUAAGAGAUAUUUGAUGAUGCUAUGCAAUGGCCUACAAACCAGUGCCUCCCUAGUCUUUCACACACCCCACCUCUGUCCUUGCUUGGACUUCAUCUGGCAUUGCUCCCUUCCCUGCUACAUGCACACCUGAUCUAGCUCUGCCUAGCUCUUGAAUUUCAUGGAAUUGAGCUGUCUGGGCGAGGUCCCCGUGUUCCUGAAAGGUCCCAUAUGUGAUCAUAGCUUGUUUCAAGGGGUUAAACCGCCUUGGGCCAUUUCAUGCAUGCUAUUUUCCUGCACAGAGAUAAUCUCCAUGCGGCAUGUUCCUGGCACAGAUAAUCUCAAUGAAAAGACACUUGUAUGUUCUUCCCUAAGCCUUCUUCUUGCUCUCCUGUUCUCAGUUAGUUUCUUUUGUAUUUCCAAACCGCCCCCAUUUAGCUAAGUCGCUGAAAAAUUCCCUAUCUAGUCUAAGAUGAACUCAGGAGCUCUGGUUUGCAGGUAGAGGAGACUCUGACCUCUUCUUAAAAACCCUUCCCUCUUGAAGUGUCGCCCUAAGAAUUGUUUCUCACAGAAAUAGUGGAAAUGAGUGGAGUCUGAAUGGGUUUUGUUACCCGUGUGUGACCUUUUACCUAAGUGGGUCUUUUUACACUGUAAUGCUUAUCAAAGGUUUUUUAAGGAUCUGCUUUUUGUGUGUGACUUUAAAAUGCAAUGUGAAUAUAUACAUAUAUGUAUAUGUGUGUUUAUAUAUAAAUAUAUAUAGUAGGUGCUGUGUUAACAUAGCAUCCAGCUAGCGGUUGUAAUGCUUUCCUAGGUGCAGGGUAAUUGCUGCCUUUUCUUCCUGGGUGGUCACAAAAACUAGAAGAAUACUGUAAAUAGUUUUAAAAUAUUUAUUUCCUGUACUUUGUGCUAAUAAGUCUUGGGUGUGCUGUUGGUUUGCAAUGUACUGGUAGUGUGGUUUUUUGGGUGGGUGGGGGGUUCCUACUGCAAAAUUAAUUGGACAUGGGCGGGGGGGACAAGGACUGGCAUCUGGUCUGGAGUUUAUGCUGCAAAAUCAAGGGCUUAGUUCCCAUUGAAGUUGCAUUUGGGCUAUACCCAGAAUAGACAAAUAAAUAUUAAUGACACUUACAUAAUUGAAUACUCCAUAUUUAAAAGCCCUUUCACAUAGAAAGCAAGCUAUCGGGGCGAAUUGUUUUAGCCUGUCCUCCCCGAUAUGCUAGCUUUUGCAUGUGGGAGAAUGUUUUCAUAUGACGGAGUGUUCAGUCAUGUGAUCUCUCGCCUGCAAUCCGAAGUCAAACAGCCCAGGCCCUGGCUUAGAACUGGGCCUAAACCGAGUAAAAGCAUUACAUGGGUUAUCUAAAAUCUCAUUUUCUGUGGAAGCGAGUCAAAGUACAGUUCUGGGCAGCCCGCUUUGUCACGUGCAUCUUUGGGGACAGUACAUGUGAGCAAUAAGAAUUUUUAGUAAUAAUGUUUUCAGUGACAAAUUAAUGUUUAAGUCCUUAUGGGGAAAUUUUGUAAAUGUGUGUGCACAUCUCAUUGAAGACUGCCCUUCUUCACUGGCCUUGCCACAUAGAGAAAGAGACAUAUUUUGCUUCGACAUCUCUGCAUGCUUAUUCACCUGGGCAGGUGGACUCAGGGAUACUGAAUUAAGGGGAGCUCUUGGUGGGGAUAGGAUGGGAGAAAUGCCAACGGCAUACAUGGAGGAAGUGAUGGUGCCCUCCAAGCAUCAUUUAUAGCUGACUCUUGUAAUCUAACCCCUCUUGUGUUGCGUGUUUGAUGUUUCCUGUGCUCACCCCCCCCUUUUUUUUAGAUUAAGCCAAUCAUUCAUCACUUCCCAUGUUUCCAGCUGCUGUGAAGAGUCCAGGGCCCCAUUUUUUACUCUCUCUGCCUCCCUGAAUUUAUUUUAUUUUAUUACUUUGGACCAUUAAGUAUUUCUAUGCUCUCUGCUCCCUCCUGUGUUGUAUUAGUCUUAUUUUGAAUGUCUCUUUUGCGAUUAUCUCAUAUUUUUUAAAGUUAGGCUUGUGUGGAAGUUCCUAAGGGUUUGUUUCUUGUUGUUUGUCAUGGCCAUUCAGAAUUCCCACCCAUCACCCCUCUCUUCUUUCUAUGGAAAACAUGGCAAUGCAGCUUCCUAAUGUAGCUCCAGAAAAAUUGUUGCUUUGCUUGCACCCUUCUUCUGCCAUCUGAAAAGCUUCAGCCCUGCCUAUAUCCAUUGUAAAAGUCCUCAAUUCUCAGAUGAAGUUGUUAAAUGAGGUGGGGGGGGGUAGACUUGCAACCUUUCCACAAGGGCAUUCUUGAAGUUUAGGAUAACCUCCUGCCCAGUUGAAUGAACCUCUAUCAGUGUGUUGCACAGCACUCAACAAGACUGCAGGUGUGUUCUGCACUUCCUGUGUUGAUUUAUAGUCAGUUCAUUCUUCACUCUGUGUUGCACAGGUAUUUUUACUUGCUGUGUCUAAGAGACUCCUAUCUUCCCCAUAUGAUGAACCAAAUGUGUGUCUUGGGGGGUCUAUUCUCUCUAUUCCCCUUCCCUCAGGUCUGGUACUGUGCACAUCACCCAAACCCAGUGUGUGAUCAUGAGUUGGGUAUUUGAAGGCUUAAGUUGGAGCCUCAUUCCCUUCAGGGCCCUGGGAAAUGCUGUGACUUUAGAAGAAGAGCGUGUCUGCUGUGAAUUGUUGGUAAAAUGUGUCAUUAGGUAAUAUUUAUAUACCUCACCUGAGUAACAUUUGAAAAUGUAUAUAAAAAUAAAGGUUCUGUUCAGUGGCUUCCUACCCGUUUGACACACCUACAACACUUAGGGCUACUUUACCAUGGAAAUUGUAUUGAAUCUUUGCCAUUACUUUUGUGACAGCUCCAUGAUUUUUCUGUGUGCUUUAUUAACUCACCAGUGGAAGAGAACGCAUUCUUGUUACAGACUGUGGGGCUGCAGGUGAGGCUUAGACCUCUGCCUCUUUCCAUGUUUCUUCUUCCUCUUUAUGCAUUGUGUAUGUACUCUGCGUGCCCUAAGGAGUCUUACUUUAUUGCCGCUUAUUAAACAUUUCUUUUAUAUC